rnacentral:rRNA from 1 species
UACGUAGGGUGCGGGCGUUAAUCGGAAUUACUGGGCGUAAAGCGUGCGCAGGCGGUUCGUUAUGUCUGAUGUGAAAGCCCCGGGCUCAACCUGGGAAUGGCAUUGGAAACUGGCGAGCUUGAGUGUGGCAGAGGGGGUGGAAUUCCGCGUGUAGCAGUGAAAUGCGUAGAGAUGCGGAGGAACACCGAUGGCGAAGGCAGCCCCCUGGGCUAACACUGACGCUCAGGCACGAAAGCGUGGGGAGCAAACAGG